GCCAAGAUCCUUCCCUUGAUUUCUCACCUCUGCCUCUUGUCCCUCGCAGCCUCUCUCAUCUCUCCUUCCAUAUCUCUCUCGUCUCCCCAUCACCAGCAGCCUAGCAACGUUAAUGAUGGAUUCCGGAGGUGAAGCUCAACGGCGCGGCAACGUUCCUCUCUCCGGUCUUCAUCCUCCCUCGCGACUUAGCAGCAGCAACGUCUUCCUCUUCCUUGCGGCAUGUUGCAGCGGUGAUCGGCAUAGCCUCUUCGUCAACGAAAGCCAACAGCAGCGGAGCGGCGGUCUUCUCUCCCUCCCCCCUCCCAUCGUUGCGAGCAGAGUAGCAUGGUGGUGACUGGGCGGUGCUUGGCAGCGGGUGGCCUCAGCGGAGCGUCCUUCUCCAUUCGGCCAACAACAGCAGCGGGUUCCCCUGUUUCCUCCAGCGAGUGGAGCUUCCGGCUGUGCCUCUCCCUCCCUUCUCUCCGGUGGAGCUCUCUCAUCGUAGACAGCAAUUAGCAAAGGUAGGUUGGCGACGUGCAGAUGCGGCUAUGAACCUCUAUUUCUCCCCUUCGCAAUCGGCGGCGACGACGGCUGUGCAGAACGGUGGUAAUGGCGGCCUCCCUCUUCCUCGGCGAGGUAGCUUUUCCGUUCUCCUUCCCCUCCCUUCUUCGGCGUCAGUAGACGACGACGGCAAGGCUUGGCUAUGGACGGUAAUGGUGAUUCAUUGGCAACGGCUUCAUGGUAGAAAAAGAGGUUGGCUUCGCAUGGAUUAGCUAGAUUAAUUCUCAGGUUCAUGGUUGUGGACUUGCUUUUGAGAUUAGCCUAGGAUUGGUGUUGCUAUGGGAUUGAUAAGCUUAAGAGGUACUGGAAUGAGCUAUCGUGUAUUCUGUUCUAAGUCUGUGUUUUGUGCGUUGGUAUUACUCUUGCAGUGCGUCUCAGCGGUAUAAUGUGUCCCGCUGAGGUGGAAUGGCGGUGGAGGUUGGCGGAAGGGUGCAUUCCGUGAGUAUGUUCCGUCAGUACUAGUGGAGUGGUUUGGCGGUCUGGUGCAUUUCGCUAGAGUGUUCCGUCAGUUCAUUUCUCAUGUCUGUUCCAGUGGUUGUUUUGUGGUCCAAUGAUCUGUUAGUCUAUCUUUGACAUCUGAAGUAUUUUGUUGAGUAAUACUAUCUUGAUUAUUGAGUGUUGAUCUAUUGGAAUUGGUCUUUUAUCUUGGAGUCUUGAUUGAGUAUUGUUGGUUUGACUAUUUGGUUGAUGUUCUGAGCAUGAUGUCCUGUUGAUCAUGUUCUGUAUCUGAGUACUUCUUGGUAUAAGUAUUCCCUUUGGAAACGAGCUUGAAUUGAUAUGUUGAGAUCUUGAACUCUUGUGAG